rnacentral:rRNA from 1 species
UACAGAGGUCUCAAGCGUUAUCCGGAUUCAUUGGGUUUAAAGGGAGCGUAGGCGGCUUGGUAAGUCAGUGGUGAAAUCUUUGGGCUUAACCCAGAAACUGCCAUUGAUACUGCUGAUCUAGAGUACAGUUGCCGUUGGCGGAAUAUGACAUGUAGUGGUGAAAUACUUAGAUAUGUCAUAGAACACCGAUUGCGAAGGCAGCUAACGAAGCUGUAACUGACGCUGAGGCUCGAAAGUGCGGGGAUCAAACAGG